GAUGAACGCUAGCGGGAGGCCUAACACAUGCAAGCUGAGCGGUAGAGUUUCUUCGGAGACUUGAGAGCGGCGUACGGGUGCGGAACACGUGUGCAACCUGCCUUUAUCAGGGGGAUAGCCUUUCGAAAGGAAGAUUAAUACCCCAUAAUAUAUAGAGUGGCAUCACUUUAUAUUGAAAACUGAGGUGGAUAAAGAUGGGCACGCGCAAGAUUAGAUAGUUGGUGAGGUAACGGCUCACCAAGUCGAUGAUCUUUAGGGGGCCUGAGAGGGUGAUCCCCCACACUGGUACUGAGACACGGACCAGACUCCUACGGGAGGCAGCAGUGAGGAAUAUUGGACAAUGGGUUAGCGCCUGAUCCAGCCAUCCCGCGUGAAGGACGACGGCCCUAUGGGUUGUAAACUUCUUUUGUACAGGGAUAAACCUAUUUACGUGUAAAUAGCUGAAGGUACUGUACGAAUAAGCACCGGCUAACUCCGUGCCAGCCGCCGCCGUAA
rnacentral:rRNA from 1 species